AACGAACGCUGGCGGCAUGCCUAACACAUGCAAGUCGAACGAGACCUUCGGGUCUAGUGGCGCACGGGUGCGUAACGCGUGGGAACCUGCCCUUAGGUUCGGAAUAACUCCCCGAAAGGGGUGCUAAUACCGGAUAAUGUCUUCGGACCAAAGAUUUAUCGCCUUUGGAUGGGCCCGCGUUGGAUUAGCUAGUUGGUAGGGUAAAAGCCUACCAAGGCGACGAUCCAUAGCUGGUCUGAGAGGAUGAUCAGCCACACUGGGACUGAGACACGGCCCAGACUCCUACGGGGGGCAGCAGUGGGGAAUAUUGGACAAUGGGCGAAAGCCUGAUCCAGCAAUGCCGCGUGAAUGAUGAAGGCCUUAGGGUUGUAAAGCUCUUUUGCCCGGGAUGAUAAUGACAGUACCGGGAGAAUAAGCUCCGGCUAACUCCGUG
rnacentral:rRNA from 1 species